rnacentral:rRNA from 1 species
CAGUCGCCACGGUAAUACGGAGGGUGCAAGCGUUAUCCGGAUUUAUUGGGUUUAAAGGGUCCGUAGGCGGACUUAUAAGUCAGUGGUGAAAGCCUGUCGCUUAACGAUAGAACUGCCAUUGAUACUGUAAGUCUUGAGUAUAUUUGAGGUAGCUGGAAUAAGUAGUGUAGCGGUGAAAUGCAUAGAUAUUACUUAGAACACCAAUUGCGAAGGCAGGUUACCAAGAUAUAACUGACGCUGAGGGACGAAAGCGUGGGUAGCGAACAGGAUUAGAUACCCCUGUAGUCCCUGUCUCUUAUAC